CACAUAUCAGUCUGCCUAAAAUUCCCCCCCUCCCUAUACAUGCGUUGGAGAUGAAUUCGGGCCAAAUUUUGGGAUUUUUCUGGGUUUAGCCCCAGGGUUGGAGAUGGCCUCACACACACACACGCUACUCUCUCAGUCUCUCUCUCUCUCACGAAUCUCCCUCAGUCUUCUCUUCGUUCUAAUUUUUCUUUUCGUUUUGACCUAACACUAAGCGGCGCCUCACCUCUCUCUCUCUCGACCCGCCUCCUCCCUUAGAUCUUCAAUCCUCGCAUAGCACCAGCACCACUACUCUCUCAGUCUCUCUCUCUCUCUCUCACUCACGAUCCUCUCACUCUCAGACUCUCAGUCGAUCAGCCACCGCGCCUCCUUCAGCCGAUCAGCCACCGCGUCUCUCUCAGUCUCAGACUCUCUCACGAUUCUCACGAUCCUCUCACUCUCAGACUCUCGGACUCUCAGACUCUCAGUCGAUCAGCCCUGCACGCAGCGACAGUUUGUGAUCACCAUCUAUUCCUCUCCUCCGGUUUCUUCUGUGGGGUUCUCUCUCAAAUCAGUCAAAGGAUAUAUUGGGGAGAUGGAGUACUGGAGUUAUUGCCUCAUUUGUUAGGCUUGCAUCUCUCUCUUAAGGCAGUUUCUUCUUGUAUUGGUAAAAGAUCAUCAAGAGACAUCAAAUCCGUUCUAGACCAAGAAGUAUGUAGACAUUGGUUUUCCCUUCUUCUUCUUUUCUUGGCACCAUUUCUUAACUACAUAUUUCUUUUGGUGUUCAUACUUUGGUUUGUAAGGUGCUUGUGUCCAAUUUCAUGUAAUUGGUUAAUUUCUUUUUCUAUUGUGCUCUAAUAUUUGUUUCUUGAUAAUGUUAACCAUUUUGUUCUUAUACCACUUCUCCUUUUUGUUCUAACUCCUUAAUAUCACAAAUUCAGAUUCUGGCACUUACAGUAGUAUCCUUUGUCGUGGCUGCAAUAACUGAUCUGCAAUUCUAUCACAAGUUCUAACACUUGCACUAAUAUGAAAUUUUGGUUCUGCAAAUGUAGGAAAUAUAGAUAAUGGAAUUUGAGAUAUUGGCAUGACAUUUGUUAAAGCCUAAUUCAUGUUUCAUUUUAAUUAUUCUUGUACAUUGAGAUGGGUAUUAGUGAGCCUGGGAUGACUAAAACAUUGAAGAUGGCAUUUCAUCUCAUUGGAUCAUCCUGAAGAGUAGGUUGAAUAAUAGAGAUUUUCUUGUAGUUACAUAUUAUGUAUUAGAUACCUUUGUUCAUUUCAGUAUGUUUUGUUUGCAGUGUAAUUUUUAACGUGUUUUUAAUGUAUAACAUUUAUUUUAUAUUAAAUUAGUCGAUCUAAUUAUAUUUUAGUGGAAUUUUUUUUUUUAAUAUUAUCCUUUUGUUUCUUGACGGUUAAAAUCCAUCAAGAAAAGAGUUGAUAAGUGUCAAGAAAAAGGUACGCUGACAGUUUAAAAGCGUCAAGGUUGACUAUAAGUUGACGGUUUAAACUGAAAAGUGACGCCUUUCCUACUCCCAUUCUCAAUCCCUUAAGGCCUGUUUGGUGUGCUGGCUUCGAUAUGGGCGUCUCUCCACCAUGGUUUCAACGCCCCUCUGUAUCUACUGUGAUUUUAGCCAUUGUUGCAAGCCUUGGUUUACUUUAUUGGGCUGAGUCACUGAUGUUGCAGUAACCAUAUAUGAGUUUCAAUGCCUAAGCUUCUUGGUGUGAGACCUAUGCAAAUCAAGAGCUGAUCUUCUCAUUGAGUCAUUGAAGCUGGUGAUAAAAUAUACUAAACAUUAAUAAAAAGAUAAAAGAUUUAAGUCCAGUCCAGCUCAGUGCUGUACUAAACAACUGACAAGACUCAAACCCAAGCCAGUCCAAGCCAGCCCAGUCCAAUACUUGAAGCCGAAUCCAUGCCAGUCUAGGCCAGCCCACCAAACAUGCCUUAAGGGCUAUCACCAAAUUACAAGGAUCAUAAAAUAUGACUCUCACGGCAACUCAUUGUGUUGCCUCAAUCCCAACGUACCCAAUCUGCAAGCAUCAACAUAAACCUCCUCGAUCUCUCUCCUGGCGGAUCUUAUCAAGAUCAAAUAGAGUCUCAAAUGUUAAAAUUCCGCAGUCGACAUCUUUAACCUUUGAGCCAAGAAACGAAAUUGUGCAGGUGUGAGUGCUUCAAUCUGUACGAGCAGCAGGUUCCAUAUGGUCAGGCGUGGGCUUGGCAGAAGAGCAUAGUUAACGAGAAAAAAACUUUGAUUCAGAGGAAUGAGGAUUGCUCAGACUCGCUGUUUGUUCUUCAGCAUUGUCCUGUUUAUACCUUGGGGACUGCUAGUUCAGAGCAGUUCCUUAAUUUUGACGUCAAGGACUCACCUUUCGACAUUUAUCGAACCGAACGUGGUGGCGAGGUUACAUAUCAUGGUCCUGGUCAGAUAGUUAUGUACCCCAUUAUGAAUCUCCGAAAUCACAAGAUGGAUCUUCAUUGGUACCUCAGGUCACUUGAGGAGGUGAUCAUCCGUGCUCUUUCAAAGGAAACCAGAAACUGGCAGCCAUCGGAAUACGAGUAUCACAGUGGAUAAUGUAUCAUGGCUUAGCGUUGAAUGUCACCACUGACUUAACCCCUUUUCGUUCAAUAGUGCCCUGUGGGUUACGAGACUAUCAGGUUGGAAGUGUUAGAGGCUUGCUGAAGGAAUUUCAGUCAUCCGCCGACUGUGAAAGAGCACGUGUACCUGAUCCUGAUGAUGGCCAGCUACUUGAUAUUACUUGUAAAUCUUUGAUCAAAGAGUUUUCAGAAGUUUUCCAGGUUAGAAUCAAUUAUGAAACCAUCUCAAGGCUGGAGUUAUUAGAAAGGACCUGUAGACCGUUUGGUAGAGGAACCUAAUUAGUUGAGGCUGGGGCCCGACAUCUCUAAAUCAUUGUUGAUGUGAAACACAUAUUAGCCCUUGGAUUUGAAAAAUAUAUUUGGCUUAUUCAUUAAAUAAGCCGCAAUCUACGAGGUCCAAAAACGCGCUAAUAAUAUAACCAAAGGAUUAUAAAGGGAGCUUGAGAUUCAGGCCCCUAAAUCCCAUAUUGAAACUCGAGAUAAUCCUUUGUUCUAGGGCUAUUUAUAACUAUCCAAUUAAGAAUUCGCAGAUGUGUUAGCAAGUGCAUCAAGGAUUUUGUCAUCGAUUCCCAUUUUCACAAACAAAAGAACACUCCAAACACCUAUAUAUUACACAAAGACUCCAAAAAGUCCAGCCCACUUUUACGGAAAAAACAAACCCAAAAUAAAUAAAAACAAAACAACACCCACAACCCAAGGCACCCUGCCAGACUCUCUGUCUCAUCUCUGUAACCAUCGAUAUCCUCCAUAACCACCAGAAAACCUACAUGCAUAACCACUAAAAAAUCGAAAGGAAACUGCAAAAGCAUCACAAAAACAAACAACAUUUCUUGAAAAAAGAUUACAAUCUUGUUCGACAACAGAGGUAAAAGCAUAACUCAAACCCAUUUACUUAUUUUCUGAAGUGUCUUUACCAUUCAAGUUAUUAACAUGCAAUAACACUUGGGUUUUGUAAAAGAAACCCGAAUCUGCAACUCACCACAGCCUCAGGAUUCAAGGUAUACCCACUUUCUAUAUUUUUUUAUUUUUUUUAUUUAUUUAUCAGUAUGACUAUAUUAUCUGAAGCUCAAAGGCCCAAAACCAGAGUGAGGAGGAAGCUCUCUUCUCUCUGGUUAGUUAGUUAGUUAGUUCCUUACCUCCAAGGCCUCGAAGCCACUCUCAGACUGAGAGUUUGAGACUGCGAGACUGCUCCGUUGCUUAUUAGGUUUUGGGAUGAGAUCGCACUUCUGUUGCACUGCAGUAGAACUUUGUUUAUUUAAAAUAAUGUGUCAUUGAAUUACAGAUAUGUCAGGCAAAGAACCUUUCACAACAGCAAAAAGGCCCAGGCAAAUCCACAAACAAAGCCACCAUAAAACCCAAGAAAACAACCAACACAAAAGCAAAAUCCAAAACACCAAAGCCAAGAUCAAAAAGACUAGACGAUCCCAACUAUGUUCAAAUCAAAAGCAAUAUGCUCACUUUUCAGACCACAUUGAGCAACAUAAAAGACAGACUUAAUGCAAACAAACAGGCCCUCAGACAGCUAGCCAAGACACCAUUGUGGAACCUAAUCAGUGCUUACAGAGAGGGCUACCUAACAAACACAAAUUGCAAAAAGUCUAACUAUGACAUUCUUAGACUAAUCAAUACCUACAACCCUGAGACCAAAAAGUUAAUACUAUAAUUGCUUUCUCCUCAUAUGUAUUAACACGUCACAUUGAAAACCAUGUUUGUAGUAUUUGUUUACACCAUAAUCAACAGAGCAUGUCCAGCCUCAAAACAAUUAGCACCAAGCCAGACACUCCUUCUCCACUGCCGAAGGAGGACACUCUUCCAAGGUGCCAGACACCUGCCGAAGCUCCCGACUGCUGAAGCUCCCAAUUGCCAAACCUAAUCUCCAUGACACGUGUCACCACCACAGCGACUUGCACAAAAUCCCACAUUGGAAAUCUACACAAACCUCCCACUUUCACUUCCCUAUAAAUAGGGAACAGUACCCUAGUAAAAAAGGUAACUAAUUUUUUACUUUUACCGUUACUCUGCCAAAGUUACCACUUAUAGCUGACUUAAGCAUCGAAGAGCCUUCGGCCGGCACCACACCGGUGUCCGAAGCUUAACGACUGCUUCUCCUACUUUGUCUUCUGCAGGGUACCCAGCUACCGAAGGUCCUAGCCCUUUGUCCUACCGAAGGUCCUAGCCACUUUCCCUGCUAAAGACACUCCCCUUUUCUCUAAGUUGACCCUCUACCAUUUUGAGCAUCAACAGUAUUGGUUGUGUCAAAGAGGUAACUUGAUAAGUCCUAUUGUUGGAAGAGAAGACAUGACUCCGGCAGCUGCGAGAUGGAGCCUUCCAGAGCUGAACGUGAAGCUAACUCAUUUGAAAAAUGAGCACAUUAAGAUAACCAUUGCUGAAAAUGAAGACGACAAUGAAGAAAAAGAGAGUGAUACCGAUCAUAAUGAUGGUGGAGGUGUUGAAGAUAACGAAGAGAAUCAAGAUGAGAAUGAACUAGAGAAUCAAGACCAAUUGCUUAAACAACUGCAUAAAAGGUAUAAACAAGAGGCUCAAGAUCAAGAAUCCAAAUUAACUUUGAAUGAUUGGUGCAAGAGUCAAAAACAGAAUACUUGCAAAAGGGAAAAUGAUAUUGCUCAGCAACAACUGUUUACCAGUGGUGAAACUGUGAAAAAAGAUGCAGAGCAAACAAAAUCUCAAAUCCAUGAGCAAAAGCAGGAAAAAAUGAAUGAACACAACAUGGAUGAAGACAUUGCUACUGACCAUAAUGAACAAGUGCAAGAGAAGCAUCAGCAACAACUUGAAUCCCAACCCGACAGCCAAGAAAAGAUGUAUCAAAACAUUUUUGUGGAGAUGGUGGGGUCAAUACCAAAGUACUACAAGGAUGAAAUGAAGCCUGCCCAUGAACGCAACCAUGAGCUCAAAGAAGCAGUUGAUUAUUGGAUAGACAAAGCAGAUGAUCUCAAGUAUAAGAUGCAGGUUGCAAUUCAAUCGUGCAUGGAAAAAAAUGCAUUUAUUGAAAAAAUCUGUAGAGAAAAGGAAGCUGUACAGAAAAAAACAAAGAAACUAAAGAAGAAGCUUGAACAACAAGAAGAACAAAACAAAAAGCUACAAGCACAACUAGUGGAAGAGAAAUUGAAGAGGAGGCACCUGCAGAAUAACUAUGAACUGCUUGAAAGAGAGAAAAUGUCAUGCAUUGAGACCAUGAAACAAAAUGACUUCGAUAUUGCAUCUUUAGCACUAUGGGGUUUACAACAUUCUUGAUGCCAUCUGCAAGCAAAGAUUGGAAAGCAUACUGGAGAUUUUCACUUGAUGGGAGUACAUUUGGAAUGGAAAAAGAGUCAUUGUACAAGGGUUGAUAGGCGAUACAUCAAUAUCUUAUAGAUGCCUAUAAAGAGUUACUUCAAAUUGAGGGGAAGAUCAACCCUGUAAAGCAUCAAAAUGCAUGUGGUGAUUUUAAUGGAACCCAACAAUCCUAUCUUUUGGAGUUUAAAGUUUUAGAUCAAGAAUAGGAAUUUUGUCCCAUUCCAUCCAUAUAUGAUGUUUGUCUAGUUUUGGAAUGAAACAUAACUAAGGAAUUUACCUAAGUUGACUGUGGAGUCAAUUCCACUUAAGAGCCAUAGAACUACUUGGAAUGUAAACUCACUGCAAAUGCCCUUUCAUUAAUUGGCUGUAUUAAAAUUAGAAAAGAAAAUAACUCCAAGAUAGUGAGGAAAUGGAGUACAUUCCUAUUCCAACUAUAUUAUUCCGGUCAAACAAACGGGGCCUAAGUUUCAAGUGGUUGAUAGUGAAUAGAACUAAUG